rnacentral:rRNA from 1 species
GAUAAACGCUGGCGGCGUGCCUAACACAUGCAAGUCGAACGAUCCCGCAAGGGAGAGUGGCGGAAGGGUGAGUAACACGUGGGAAUCUACCUCCUCGCAGGGAACAACCUCUCGAAAGAGAGGCUAAUACCCAAAAGGGUCAGAAAUGAUCAGAGUCGAAAGGCGUGAGGAGAGGAGCCCGCGGCCCAUCAGCUAGUUGGUGAGGUAAUGGCUUACCAAGGCUACGACGGGUAGGGGAUCUGAGAGGAUGUCCCCCACACUGGAACUGAAACACGGUCCAGACGCCUACGGGUGGCAGCAGUGAGGAAUAUUGGACAAUGGGCGAAAGCCCGAUCCAGCAACGCCGCGUGGAGGAUGAAGGCCUUCGGGUCGGUAAACUUCUUUAGAGGGAGACGAGAAAGGACGGUAUCCCUAGAAUAAGCGACGGCAAACUACGUGCC